CCACGCGUCUCCAUGGCGACCGCUCGACGCCGCAAGCGCAACCACAAAAUUGCCGCCAGGGGCCGCCUGUGGCUCUAGCUGUACGCAUGCGUGUUUCGGUUUGAGACCUGGUGUGUCAAGGGAGUGAAACUAGGGCCUCAUGAAUGCUACGCUGGGCAGAUGUUCUACCAUCUACACCUUCAGCCCCGAAAAGACAGCUUCCCACAUAAGAGCAGCCAGUGUUCUUAACCACCCAAACGUCUCUGAGCCCCGCUUAUCGUCUUUUUGAUAAACAGAAACUGAAAAUUCUAAUGAAGCCAUUUUGUUGAUGUUUUCUUUUGUGUCCAGUCCAAUGAACUGGACACAAUGAACAAUGCUACCACACAUGACAAAAAGGGCCUCAUUUAGCUCAACCACAACCUGACCUCACAAUUUAGCGGAGGAUGGUCUUGAACUCCUGAUCCUUGUGCUGGGACUCCAGAUGUGCGCCACCAUGCCUGACUCUGACUCUUGCUCUUCCUCUUCCUUUCAUCUAUCUCCUGAGCCAGAGCCCUUGAAACUAGAGAGGAAGGAGGUCCCUGGACCUGGCAGAGCAACUGCUUCAUAGAAGAUGUCCCAGGAAUGUUGUAGAAGGAUGACAUAGAUGGCCUUGAACUUGGGAGUCUGUCUGCCUUGAUCUGCUAUGUAGCUGGGACUUCAGACGGACACCACACCCUGGUUUUUGUUUCUUCUCUCAAGCUGAGGAUCAAAGGCAGGUGCACUCUGCCCCCAUGUGACACCCUGACUCCAUCUGUAAUCCUUUCUAAGAAAGAAAAGAGUUCACUUGGAUCAAAGAGCAGAAAUUUUGUCAAGUGGGUGUGGAGGAGUCUCUUCCCUAUAAAAGUGGGAGAAGAGUUGGCAAGAAGAAAAGGACCUUGGAGCGAGAGCCUGUGCACUUGGUGACUGGCCUAUGGUGGACGCAUUCACAUGUGUGGGCAUUCUCACAGACAUACAGACAGACAUGUGGAAGUGUGCCCUCCCCAAUCAGUGGGCAUGUGGGAGCCACCAAUGAGAAUGAGGCCAUCUCACACUGGGGCAGGACAGGAGGCCUAGGCUGUCUCUCCUUUCAUAUGCAAGAUGCGCCCAGGUAACAGACACACAAGGGUAGGUGUUGUGUCGCUGCUGGGAGUCCUGUGUGGGACACUUAGGAAAUAAAGCUUAAUGAAA